rnacentral:rRNA from 1 species
CAGUAGCCGCGGUAAUACGUAGGGUGCAAGCGUUAAUCGGAAUUACUGGGCGUAAAGCGUGCGCAGGCGGUUUUGUAAGACAGAGGUGAAAUCCCCGGGCUCAACCUGGUAACUGCCUUUGUGACUGCAAGGCUAGAGUACGGCAGUGGGGGAUGGAAUUCCGCGUGUAGCAGUGAAAUGCGUAGAUAUGCGGAGGAACACCGAUGGCGAAGGCAAUCCCCUGGGCCUGUACUGACGCUCAUGCACGAAAGCGUGGGGAGCAAACAGGAUUAGAUACCCCCGUAGUCCCUGUCUCUUAUAC